GCUCUUCUCUUCAUACCCACCAUGUGAGACUUCUGAGAUGUAUAAUGAAAAUAGCUUGUGGGUUUUGCUUGGUUUUGGGUUAAUUUUUGUCGGUGAACCUCAGUAUGGGAGAAUCUGUUAAGCUCAGGAGGGAUAGCGCCAUGAGCCAUGAUGAAAAUGAUUGUUGAGUUGAAAAUUUUUUCUAGCUUGUUUUUUGGGUCAUCAUUUUGUGUGUGUGGCGCUAUCUAUCCUGAGUUUCACGGGUUCUUCUUACUAUCUCUGGUGCAGUUUCAGCUUCAAGGACGAUAUUGAGUAUUUGGUAGGGUAAGGAUGAACUGUGGCUGUGAUCUCCUGUCAAAGAGCUGAAUCUUGUGGAUGCACCUUUGGUGUUUUUUUUUUUCUUUCUGUUCCUUUUAACCUAGAAUCAAGCUCUUCUGAUUAUGUCUUUCUUUUUGUUUUGAUUUGAGCAGGGUACUGAUAUCAAAAUAAGUGAUGUCAUCAUUAUGUGUUCUUCUUCUCUUCCUCUUCUCCUCUUCCUCCUUCUCUCUCUUUGUUACUGAUCGGAGAUAGGGUUACAUAUUGUUCUUUGGUUCUUUGGUUGCAUUUAUGAUUCUAUGAAAAGUAAAAGGGAAAACUUGGGUCUUCAGAUUAA